GUUGGUGGAAUGGCCUUCUCUCCUACUUCAUCACCCGGAUACAGCCCAUCAUCACCAGGCUACAGUCCGUCAUCUCCUGGAUACAGUCCCACGUCACCUGGAUACAGCCCAACUUCGCCUGGAUACAGUCCCACCUCGCCUGGAUAUAGCCCUACCUCACCAACUUAUAGUCCAAGUUCUCCUGGUUAUAGUCCAACCAGUCCUGCCUAUUCUCCUACCAGUCCAUCGUACUCACCUACUUCACCAAGCUAUAGCCCAACCUCCCCAAGUUACAGCCCAACAUCCCCAAGCUACAGCCCGACCUCUCCAAGUUACAGCCCCACUUCUCCCAGUUACAGUCCAACUUCACCAAGCUAUAGCCCCACCUCACCGGCAUAUAGCCCCACCUCACCUGCAUAUAGCCCCACCUCACCUGCAUACAGCCCCACUUCACCAUCGUACAGCCCAACCUCUCCUUCCUACAGCCCAACAUCACCUUCGUACAGCCCUACCUCACCGUCAUACAGCCCCACUUCUCCAUCGUACAGCCCCACUUCACCAGCCUAUAGCCCCACUUCUCCUGGUUAUAGUCCAACUUCACCAAGUUAUAGCCCAACUUCACCAACCUAUAGUCCUACAUCCCCAAGCUACAAUCCUCAGUCUGCCAAAUACAGUCCGUCGCUGGCCUACUCACCAAGUAGUCCAAGAUUAUCUCCUGCCAGUCCGUACAGCCCUACAUCUCCAAAUUACAGGUAAGCCAUAGUGCGAUAUGUGGUCAAGUCUAAUGUUUGUGUUAAAAGCUGUAUCCAAUUUAUUAGGUCUUGUUUUUGAUAGAAUUCUAUAUACUGAAAUAUCUGUUGAACCUAAGACUUGCUGUAGCUGGGGAUUGGACUUGGAUGGGUUUAAAUUAUUAAUGAUUUUAUCUCUGUUGUUUUUAACAUUAUUAUAUCUGGAUGAUUAUGUUGAUGUAUCUUGUAAGCAACUUUUCUUUUUACGCAGUCCAACAUCAUCUUCGUAUUCACCGACAUCUCCCUCUAUGAUACUGGACCAAUGAUGAGAUGUUCAUUUGAAGAAACGGUUGACAUUCUUCUUGAUGCUGCAGUCUUUGCAGAAUCAGAUUAUUUGAGGGGGGUCACUGAGAAUAUAAUGUUAGGUCAGCUUGCGCCUAUUGGGACAGGAGACUGUUCAUUGUAUCUCAAUGAUGAGAUGCUGAAAAAUGCCAUCGAACUUCAGCUUCCUAGUUAUAUGGAAGGUCUGGAGUUUGGCAUGACACCUGCUCGUUCUCCGGUGUCUGGGACUCCUUAUCAUGAUGGCAUGAUGUCUCCAGGUUACUUGUUUAGCCCAAAUCUCCGUCUGUCCCCGGUCACGGAUGCCCAGUUUUCUCCUUAUGUUGGUGGAAUGGCCUUCUCUCCUACUUCAUCACCCGGAUACAGCCCAUCAUCACCAGGCUACAGUCCGUCAUCUCCUGGAUACAGUCCCACGUCACCUGGAUACAGCCCAACUUCGCCUGGAUACAGUCCCACCUCGCCUGGAUAUAGCCCUACCUCACCAACUUAUAGUCCAAGUUCUCCUGGUUAUAGUCCAACCAGUCCUGCCUAUUCUCCUACCAGUCCAUCGUACUCACCUACUUCACCAAGCUAUAGCCCAACCUCCCCAAGUUACAGCCCAACAUCCCCAAGCUACAGCCCGAC
rnacentral:lncRNA from 1 species